AGAGAGAGACAUGCGCGCAUAUCAAUAAGCGGAGGAAAAGAAACUAACAAGGAUUCCCCUAGUAACGGCGAGUGAAGCGGGAAGAGCUCAAAUUUGAAAUCUUAAAGGGUUUCCCUUUACGAAUUGUAGUUUAAAGAAGUGUUUUCUGUUGAGGUUUUGGUAAAGGUUCUUUGGAAUAGGACAUCAUAGAGGGUGAGAAUCCCGUAUUUGACCUUUACUUUCAACUUUGUGAUACACUUUCAAAGAGUCGGAUUGUUUGGGAAUGCAGUCCAAAAUGGGUGGUAAAUUUCAUCUAAAGCUAAAUAUUGGCGAGAGACCGAUAGCGAACAAGUACCGUGAGGGAAAGAUGAAAAGAACUUUGAAAAGAGAGUUAAACAGUACGUGAAAUUGUCAAAAGGGAAGCGUUUGACACCAGUGUUGUUUUUCUGAAAAUCAAUUAAAGAACUGUUUAUGCUAAGUUGUUUAGACUUUAUCAGCUAACUGUUUAGUUUUGAGCUUUUCUUUAAUGCACUUUUCAGUUAACAAGUCAACAUCAAUUUCUUUUGCUGUAAAAAAGCUUGAGGAAGGUGGCUUGAGAUUCGUCUUAAGUGUUUAUAGCCUCUUGCCUAUGCAGUCGGAGAGAUUGAGGUCUGCAGCGUAGAUCCUUCGGGGCUAAAUGCAUUUGUGCUAAGUUAUAGCAUUUUAUAGACAACUUGUUGACUAUGAUUUGUCUUGUAGCUUACUCGCUUAUGUUAUUUUACCUACGCUUAGGAUGUUGAGCGCAUGUCUCUCUCU
rnacentral:rRNA from 1 species